rnacentral:rRNA from 1 species
CCAGACUCCUACGGGAGGCAGCAGUGGGGGAUAUUGCACAAUGGGGGGAACCCUGAUGCAGCGACGCCGCGUGGGUGAAGGAGUGCUUCGGCAUGUAAAGCCCUAUCGGCAGGGAAGAAGCAAGACGGUACCUGACUAAGAAGCCCCGGCUAACUACGUGCCAGCAGCCGCGGUAAUACGGAGGAUGCGAGCGUUAUCCGGGUUUAUUGGGUUUAAAGGGUGCGUAGGCGGACGCUUAAGUCAGCGGUAAAAUUGCGGGGCUCAACCUCGUCGAGCCGUUGAAACUGGGUGCCUUGAGUGGGCGAGAAGUACGCGGAAUGCGUGGUGUAGCGGUGAAAUGCAUAGAUAUCACGCAGAACUCCGAUUGCGAAGGCAGCGUACCGGCGCCCAACUGACGCUGAAGCACGAAGGCGUGGGUAUCGAACAGGAUUAGAUACCCCGGUACC